AACGCACCUUGCGCCCUUUGGCUAUUCCGAAGGGCAUGCCUGUUUGAGUAUCAUGAACACCUCAACUUUCAUGGUCUGCCAUGAUGAGCUUGGACUUUGGGGGUCUUGCUGGCGUAACCGCCGGCUCCUCUCAAACGAAUCAGCUUGCCAGUGUUUGGUGGCGUCACAGGUGUGAUAACUAUCCACGCUUGUGGUCUUCCAUCAGGUUACCUUCAGUAAUGGAGGUUCGCUGGAGCUCACAGACGUCUCUCCUCUGGGAGGACAGCUUUUUAAAAGUUUGAUCUCAAAUCAGGUAGGACUACCCGCUGAACUUAA
rnacentral:misc_RNA from 1 species